ACGUAGGGUGCAAGCGUUAAUCGGAAUUACUGGGCGUAAAGCGUGCGCAGGCGGUUUCAUAAGACAGAUGUGAAAGCCCCGGGCUUAACCUGGGAAUGGCAUUUGUGACUGUGAGGCUAGAGUGUGUCAGAGGGGGGUGGAAUUCCGCGUGUAGCAGUGAAAUGCGUAGAUAUGCGGAGGAACACCGAUGGCGAAGGCAGCCCCCUGGGAUAACACUGACGCUCAUGCACGAAAGCGUGGGGAGCAAACAGGAUUAGAUACCCUGGUAGUCCACGCCCUAAACGAUGUCAACUGGUUGUUGGGAAGGAAACUUCUUGGUAACGAAGCUAACGCGUGAAGUUGACCGCCUGGGGAGUACGGUCGCAAGAUUA
rnacentral:rRNA from 1 species